rnacentral:rRNA from 1 species
GACGAGCCACACAAACGUUAUUCGGAAUUACUGGGCUUAAAGGGUGCGUAGGCGGCGCGGAAAGUUGGGUGUGAAAGCCCUCGGCUCAACCGAGGAAUUGCGCCCAAAACUACCGUGCUUGAGGAAGAUAGAGGUGAGCGGAACUCAGGGUGGAGCGGUGAAAUGCGUUGAUAUCCUGAGGAACACCGGUGGCGAAAGCGGCUCACUGGAUCUUUUCUGACGAUGAGGCACGAAAGCUAGGGUAGCGAACGGG